rnacentral:lncRNA from 1 species
UAAUGAUUUAAUCAAAGUAAUUUGAAUUGAAUCUCCUCUUUUUCCAUGAAAAAUUUAGCUAAGUUCAUUUAUGGCCACUAUUUUCAUUUGAAUAGCUAUUAAUUCAAGAACACUUUCAUUAGUUCGUUUAUCUAUUAACUAAAAUUUACUCAUGCAAACCAUUGUCUACAAAAAAAAUAAUAAUAUCAUGAAGCUUUUAUAAUAUAUUUACCCUUUUAAACUCUCUAUUCCUUCUUGUCACUAAAUAAGAGCUUUGGAAAAUUAUGUAAGUCCUAAAGCUUUGGAUUCAUGCUUAAUACGUCCUAAGCUUGACACUAUCCUUCGCGUUAUUAGCCCUCUCUUUUUCUGUCGAUUUUUUAUGGACAAAAAGUCUAUGUGGCAUCUUUAUUAAUUUUUUAUAUGUUUGAACAAGUGGCACUGCUGUGGCACAAAAUAGGCGCUAAAUCUCGAAAACUAAAAAUAAA